GACAGGAUAGCAUUGUGGAGUUGAUUCUUCUCAUCCUUAUGUGGUUCUGGGGACUGAACUCAGGCCAUCAGACUUUGAGGUGACAAUUAUCCACUGACCCAUCUUGAUGACCUGAUCUUUCUUUUCUUUUUGGCCAAUACCAGAGAUUAAAUCUAGGACAUCACGUAUGCUGGUAACACCUCCUACCACUGAACUAAACCCACAGUGGUGUAGAUAACAAUUUUGCAUCAAUCCACAAGAUGUCUGGAACUCCCUGUCUUGAACUCCUGAGAUCUGUAGAUUACAGCCUCCCGAGCAAUGCGAUUACAGACUAUACUCAAGAGAUGAGAAGCCCACACCAUUACAUGCUCAGCGUUUACACAGAGAAGAGGCCGAGUAGCCGCGACUUGCGGCGGCACCUGAGCUCGGCCGCCAGCUACGCCAGGCCUGAGACAAACCCACCCCGGCCUCGAGGAAGCGUGUCAACCCCGCGCUGUCCCCGCUGCUCGCCCCGCUAGUGGCCUCGGGCACAGAUGCCCUCCGGAGCCGGCUUCGAGCGCCCCAGCCACAGACAUCGGUGCCUGAAGACCGGCGAACCCAGCUUGUCGAACCUGGUACCAGACCCGCACCUCAGUAAUGGGUCCCGCCCCUAAGAGACCCGCACCUUCUCCUCAUGGUGGACGCUCCAAGCUGUCCAGAAUCGAGACCCUCCACUUGCCACGCGCGGGACGGAGAACGGUAACCAGCCGCAGCAGACUUCACCCGGAGUCCGUCUCCACUCUCGAGCCGUUGGACCCCGCGGAAUUCAAACCGAG
rnacentral:lncRNA from 1 species